UACGUAGGGUGCGAGCGUUGUCCGGAAUUAUUGGGCGUAAAGAGCUCGUAGGCGGUCUGUCGCGUCGGUCGUGAAAACCUGCAGCUUAACUGUGGGCGUGCGGUCGAUACGGGCAUGACUGGAGUCCGGCAGGGGAGACUGGAAUUCCUGGUGUAGCGGUGAAAUGCGCAGAUAUCAGGAGGAACACCGGUGGCGAAGGCGGGUCUCUGGGCAGUAACUGACGCUGAGGAGCGAAAGCGUGGGGAGCGAACAGG
rnacentral:rRNA from 1 species